GCAUCAUUGGUCUAGUGGUAGAAUACAACAUUGCCAUCGUUGUGACCCGAGUUCGAUUCUCGGAUGAUGCA
rnacentral:tRNA from 1 species